CCUACGGGUGGCAGCAGUGGGGAAUUUUGCACAAUGCGCGUAAGCGUGACGCAGCAACGCCGCGUGAGUGACGAAGGCCUUCGGGUCAUAAAGUUCUAUCGACAGGGAAGAAAAUGACUGUAAGUAACUGUGUAUGUAUUGACGGUACCUGUAUAAGCAGCCCCGGCUAACUCCGUGCCAGCAGCCGCGGUAAUACGGAGGGGGCGAGCGUUGUGCGGAGUGACUGGGCGUAAAGAGAACGUAGACGGUGUUGUAAGUCAUUGGUCAAAGACCAGAGCUAAACUCUAGUAAGGCUGGUGAUACGAUAAUACUAGAGUAUCAGAGAGGAUUGUAGAAUGCCUGGUGUAGCGGUGAAAUGCGUAGAUAUCAGGAGGAAUACCGUUAGCGAAGGCGGCAAUCUGGCUGGAAACUGACGCUGAGGUGCGAAAGCGUGGGUAGCAAACAGGAUUAGAUACCCUAGUAGUC
rnacentral:rRNA from 1 species